UAACUUUGUCAGGAAAUAAAAAUUAUAUAAUUAAUAAUGGUGGAAACUCAGGUACAGUCGACACGUGAAAUUAAUAACUAAUAGCUGUUAAAUAAUUUGAUUGAUUUGACUAAAUUUUUAUCUAAUGACUUUUAACUAUCAAUUUACGUAAAGUCAGCUGUACCUGAGUUUUCACCUGUUAGUUUUACAUAUAAAA